UGUGAAUGGUUAAUGGGAUUAUCUGUUAGCUGCCCCUUGAACUAGAAAUAGAUGCAAAAGAUUUCCAAUCCAGCCAGUCAUGCCCCUGGCACCACCAUUCACCAUCACUUCAUGUUGGUCAGGAGUUUCUGUGUCUGUUGUGGGAGCACAUGACCGAGUAACCGGGUACAUCCCGUGGGAGUUGAAUGUUUGGAGAGUACUUUACAGUUUGGCUUCUGCGAAAAGUGUUGUGAAGGUUCUUCAUAGGCUGAAGUUUGGGGAGUGGAAGAACGUAUUUGUGGUUAAAGGAUUAACCGAGGGUUGUAUUGUGAGUUGCUUGCUGAACCAGCUGCAGAUUCUGGAAAUAAUGAGUGCUUGUAACUAAAUUUUGAGAGCCUUGGUUCAGACUGCUGAAUUGAAGAGCUCUUCCACAGCUUUAAGAUGAUAAAUUUACCACCUUUAAACUGAAUGGAGUUGCUGAGCAAGCCAAGUGCUUGUCAGGGUGGUGUCUGGUGCCUGAUGUAGGUGUGUUUUCUGUGUCAAAGACCAGGGGAGCUCCCUGCAGGGCAUCAGCUGCUCAGAGACUUGGUCACUAAUCUUGUCCCAUAGGAGAAGCCUGUAGGUUUGGUUAGGUGUCACCACCUCUAGGCAUGCAUGUGAGUUACGAGUACGGCACCCUACCCUGUGAGAAAAUACCAGCAUAAAACCCUGGUGGGGCUAGUAUAAAGAUUAAGUGGCUCUGAUUUUCACUUCUGUGCAGCAGUCAAGGCAACAGCAAAUUAAAUUGGGUCUGUAUCCCUCUUACAGAGAGACGUAAUAAACCUUUCACGGGACUGAAUCUUCUGCUGUGUUUCUGGCCAUGUUAGCAUGUUCUUGUGUAGAAGCUGUGACUAACUGAAUUAUCUACAAGCCCCCUUUGAUUAAUGCUUUUGCACGUUCAAAGUGCUGCUCCAGCAAGAUCUGUCUUCCUUCUCCCAUAAACGGAGCAAAACCAGCUGGUGUAAGUGAUGAUAAGCUAUAUCCUGUCCCCCAAGCACUUUAUACUUAUAUGUCAAAUCCGCUUCUUUGUAAGAUCAUACUAACUUCAAAAGCCCUAAAGGAAAAGAAGAAAACAAAUUGCUAAAUUGGAUUUGGAAAACAGGUUUUAGAUAGGAAUUUGCCUAGGAGGUGAGCUUCUCGGAAGGAACAACGGCAGAUUGUAUUUGACUGUUUUUAGUAUUUCCUUUGUCUUCAACUUGUGAGGCAGCCGUGGCAAACUGCUUCAUCCUUUGGUCUCCGUUUCAGCCUGAGAAGACCUAACUCAGUUUUGUCCCUUGUGGUGAUAAUAGGUUCAGAUAAUUUUUGAAGUGCUAAUUGCUUGAGCAGUACAGGAAAACUGAAGUUCCCAGUGAAAAUUAGUUUGCUUGCAGACCUUUCCAACCAAAGGGUUACUUGAGCGUGCUAUAGCCAGCUUUAGAAGUAAGUACAUUUAGUUACAGUUCAACAAUUUCUUGUCAGUAUGUCCAUAAAGGUUGGCAGGAUGCUGUCAAAUUCUAGGAGGCAGGAAAAUAUACUUGAAGAUACAAAACUGGAAAUAUUGGUCAGAACAAUUUAAACAUUAUAGUUUAAUCUCCUACUAUAUAAUGAGUGAUUGACUCGUGACUGAAGUUCCUCAAGACAUCUUUGAGGGUAUGGUGUUGUUGUGUGAUUGUAGUGUGACACCUAUUUGUAAUGGAGCAGUGGUUUCUCCAGUGCGUUAAGGAGUCAGUGUAACGUUGCAGUGCUAAUUCUUGGAGAAGUUGAUAUGCAUUUUGUGUCACCUCAGUGAUAGUAGUGGUACUCGUAGAGGUUUUUAGCAUCCUUCUUAGGUGGGAGUUUUCAGAAGAAAGCAGAAACAAUGACAAAUAUUCAAAUAGCUGAACAGCUGGUGCUAUAUUCUUCAGAUAAAGAAAAUCUGCAUAAGAAUACUGCUCUGACAUUUAUCAGCUUGGAACACGAAUGUUGGCUGGCUUUUGGUGUUUGGAUGUGUUUGGAAGAAGCACAUUUAAAGAAAUGUUUAACAUCCCAUCAUUCUAUUAACUUCUGUUGACAUUGAAGCCUUCCUUCAUAUCAUCUUCUAGGCUGAUGAUGGACAGGCUAGCAUGAGGUGCAGGGAAGGCAGAAUGAAGGUAAUACGUAGCAGGAUGUGCUACAUACGCAGAAAAGGUUUGGUUGGUUUGGCAUGUGGUGACUACAGAACAACCUCUCCUUGCAAACGAGGUUCUGUGCUAUUGGGCCUCAAGUUUUACGUGAAACUUGUUGCACAUCAAGACACUUUGUAAAUAAAACUUUAAUGUGGUUUUC